AUGCCCGCGCCAGACCCGCAGCGGCCCCCACCGGGAGCGACAUGGCGCGGCUUCCGCAGAGAAGCCACCCGGCCGAGAGCAGCCCGUUCGGGCUGCCGGGGGUCACCCCGCCGCGUUGGGGCACCAAGCGGGAAGCGUUCCUCUAGGGCGGUCACAGCCGGAGGAGCUAACACGCGCGUCUUGGUCCGGCGGCAGCCGCCGGGCGCACCCACCCAGGGUCGGUCAGUCCGGGCCCGGGUUUCCCUGCCUCAGGGAUCCCUGGGGGUCUUGGGAAGCCACGGCGCGGAGGGAUGGGCAAGCCCCGAUGUCCCGCCCGAGAGCCUCCCUCCCAAGGGACAAGCCGAAGACUUAGAGUCGCUGCGGUCGCCAGACCCGACCUCCGCGCAGCGCCAAGCCCCAUGGAGAGCCGUGGAGUCUACGGUUCCAGGCAGGGCCCCGGCGGUAGGAGGGAGGACGAGCAGGGCCCCGGGACCCCUUGCACGAGUCCUCGGCGUGUGUCCUCGCCCCUCGCCCUCACGUCUCCGGCCGCGCACCCUGACCCUGGAUCCCCGGGCCCCCGAGACCUCGAGACCCCGGGCCCCGCGCAUGCGCCGCCCAGCCCCUGCCCCUCCCCCGUCCGCCGCCGUCUGGGUCCCGGGACUGGGGAAGCCCUGCCGGCGGACCCCCGCGCGCGCCCUUCCGCCCGCGGGCACCUGGAUCGCGGUCCGCCGCCUGCCAGUCCGUGGGACGAGCGCCGAAGGAGGCGGCGCCGGGCAGGGCGCUAGCGGCCGCCUCCGCCCCCGCCGCCCGCUGCCCCUGCCGCGGGACCGCCGCGUCCACGGCCCAUGCCCGGCGCCGCCUCCGCGCGUCCGUGCCAGCCGCGCCCCCGCCACACGCACCGCCCCUCGGCCCGCCCCGGUCCGCGCGGGCUCCUGUCCCCGGGCCCGACCCGGAAGCCCCGCCCGCCCCGCGCGCCCUCGGGGCGCCCGGGCUCCGGCCCCGGGACACACCCCCCGGACGGCGGCGCCCGAUUGGCUGCUCGAGGGGGCGGGGCCCCGGGAACUCUCCGCUGCUCCCACCUAG
rnacentral:lncRNA from 13 species